rnacentral:rRNA from 1 species
UAACGAGGGGUGCAAGCGUUGCUCGGAAUUAUUGGGCGUAAAGGGUUGGUAGGUGGUCUUAUUUGUCUGGGGUGAAAGCCUUGGGCUUAACUCAAGAAGUGCCCCAGGAAACGGUAAGACUAGAGUCUCGGAGAGGGUCGUGGAAUUCCCGGUGGUAAGCGGUGAAAUGCGUAGAGAUCGGGAGGAACACCAGCGGCGAAGGCGGCGACCUGGACGAGCACUGACACUCAACAACGAAAGCGUGGGGAGCGAACAGG